ACGCUCGACACCUACGGGAGGCAGCAGUGAGGAAUAUUGGUCAAUGGGCGCUAGCCUGAACCAGCCAAGUAGCGUGAAGGAUGAAGGCUCUAUGGGUCGUAAACUUCUUUUAUAUAAGAAUAAAGUGCAGUAUGUAUACUGUUUUGUAUGUAUUAUAUGAAUAAGGAUCGGCUAACUCCGUGCCUGCAGCCGCGUAAUCUGAGCGGGCUGCAAGC
rnacentral:rRNA from 1 species